CUGGGACCAGCCUGAAUCUCUAGGUGAAAACCACAUGGAACCAGAUCUCAAUUUAAGAUAGUUUUUCUCUUCAUGGCUGAUAGCAGUCAGAGAGAGUGCUAGAAUGUAAUAAUACCUCACACCUUGAAGAUUAAACACCUUCUCAGCUAGUGUUUCUGUUGCGACUUUGUUUCUUGCCACCUUCUAUCGGUCACGGAGUGACAUUGAACAGGGAGGAAAAAAAGCAUAUCCUUUUCUCCUUGACAGUAGCUGUCUUCUAAACCUUUUUGUUCAAGUUUGUAGCAUAGAUAUGAAGCUCGAUCAUGUUUUACUUCAAAACUAGUGUUCUGAAUAUCAGAGGUAACCUCCAUUUUCACUUCAAAGAUAAUGUGCUUUAUCUCAGAUGAGCCAAUGUAUUUCUCCCUGUGCCAUUUUGAGUCUCAGAAACCAUUUUUGUUUUGCUAUCAAUGCCUUGGCAACGGACCUAAACACUGCCUUGGUCGAAUGGUCAUUGCCCCUGCCCUACCAGUUCGUCCUGGAGAAUACAUCCAUGAGGGACCUCUUCACUAGAACUAGAGUCUAAGUUCCCUCCUCUGGAAUCUGAAUGUGUUUUUCAUUUGCUUGUAACAGAAGAAAUGCCAUAAGAGUGACAAUACAUGAUUCCUAAGGCUACAUCAUUAAGCACAAUGUAUUUCAGGUUCAUUUUGAAUUGUUUUCCCUACAUCGAUUGAAUCAUUUGGUCUCCAAGAAGAUAUGGCCUUCUCUACUGUAGCCAAAGGAUUGAAUCUGGGUGCCACUGAGCAAGUACUGGAUAUGUUACUUUAUAUGAGCAUUUGACAUAGAAGAGGAUGACACAAAAGCUAUUUGUCUCCUUUAUGUCUUGUGAGAAUGUAACCUUUUCUAAAAUACAAAAGCCAUAUUUGCAUUGAUAUUUCUAAUUCAACUGUCUUUUAUUCUUAUACUGCUAAGAUGACCUUCCUUUUUUUCAGUGCUACACUGAACUCUCAUAUCAAAGCAGGUGUCCAAUAGCAGCACUAUUCCUAAAUUAAGAAGUCUUCAUUCCAUCUUUCUUGCAAUUUCAUCUAUUGCCCAAGGGUUUUGGAGUUAGCUUCAGAGAGAACAUGCCCCUGCUUGUCAGGAUGACCCGAACAUCAAAUGACUGAUGAGAGAAUGAUAUCUUUGUUUCCUCUAAAGGAACACCAGAAAUUUAUGGGAAUUUCAUGUCACAGCAUAGUAUAAAAGAACAGCAAUAAAUACAAAUAAAGGCUUUGCGAUUUUAACUAUAACUUUAUUUUUUUAAGAAAAGUCUCAUCCUCUUUAGAGCAGUUUAAUGCUCACCACAAAAUUGAGAGAAAGGUACAGAGCUUUUCUGUACCUCUCUACCAUAAUAUAUGCAUAGCCUCUCCCAUUAUUAACAUCACCUGCCAGAGUGAUACAUUUGUUAUCACUGAUGGACAAUCACAGUCAUCUAAACUCCAUAAUUUACUAUAGGACUCACUCUUGGCCUUGUAUAUUCUGUGGGUUUGGACAGAUGUAUAAAUAACAUGUAUUCAUCAUUAUAUUAUCAUAUAAAGUGUUUUAAAUACCCUAAAAACUCUCAUUGCUCUACCUUUUCAUGCCUCCUCAUAACUCCAAUCCCUGGGCACCACUGACUUUUAAUGUCCUCAUAGUUUUGCCUUUUCCAGAAUAUCAUAGUUGAAAUCAUACAGUAUAUGUUCCUUUCAUUUUGGCCCUCCCCACCUAAUAAUAUGCACUUUAAGUUCUUUCUGGUGUUUUCAUAGCUUGAUAAAUCAUUUUUUUUGGUGCUGAAAAAUAUUCCAUUAUAUGAAUUUAUCACAGUUUAUUUAGCUGUUUACCUACUGAAAGGCAUAUUGGUUGCUUCCACAUUUUAGCAGUUAAACGUCUGCGUGCAGGCUGUUGUGUGGAUAUAGAAUUUUCAGUUCCUUGGGUAAACACCAAGAAACACGACUGCUGAAUUGCAUGGUAAGAGCAUUUUUAGUUUGGUAGGAACUCACCAGACUGUUCUGUACAGACUGCACUGUUUUGCAUUUCCAUUAGCAAUGAAUGAGAAUUUCCAUUGCUGCCCAUCCUCACCAGCAUUUGAUGGUGUUGUCAGUAUUCCAUAUUUCUGACCAUUCUGAUAAGUACGUGGUAAUAUUUCCUUCCUAUUUUAAUUUGCAUUUCUCUGAGAACACAUGAUAUGGAGCAUCUUUUCUUGUGCUUAUUUACCAUCUGUGUAUCUUCCUUGGUGAAAGGUCUGGUAAGGUCUUUGGCCCAUGUUUUAAUCGGGUUGCUUGUUUUCUUAUUGUUGAAUUUUGAGUUCUUUGUAUAUUUUGGAUAACAGUCUUUUAGCAGAUGUUUCUUUUGUCAAUAUUAUUUCCUAAUCUGUCGCUUAUCUUCUCAUUCUCUUGAAAUUGGCAUUCAAAGAGCAGUAUUUAAUCUUGAUGGAAUCCAGCUUACUAAUUACAUCUUUCGUGAAUCAUUCCAUUGGUGUGAUAUUUAAAAAGUCAUUAUUACACCCAGGCUCAUCUAGGUUCUCUCCUGUGUUAUCUUGCAGGAGUUUUAUAGUUUUGAAUUUUACGUUUAGGUCUUUGAUAAGUUUUGAGUCAAUUUUUGCGAAAGGUGUAAGGUAUGUGUCUUUUUUUUGCAUCAUUUUCUGAAAAGCUUAUCUUUGCUCCAUUGUGUUGUCUUUGCUCCUUUACAAAGAUCACAUCGACUUAUAUUUAUGUG